rnacentral:rRNA from 1 species
CUGAUGCAGCGACGCCGCGUGAGGGAUGACGGCCUUCGGGUUGUAAACCUCUUUCAGCAGGGAAGAAGCGCAAGUGACGGUACCUGCAGAAGAAGCGCCGGCUAACUACGUGCCAGCAGCCGCGGUAAUACGUAGGGCGCAAGCGUUGUCCGGAAUUAUUGGGCGUAAAGAGCUCGUAGGCGGCUUGUCGCGUCGGUUGUGAAAGCCCGGGGCUUAACCCCGGGUCUGCAGUCGAUACGGGCAGGCUAGAGUUCGGUAGGGGAGAUCGGAAUUCCUGGUGUAGCGGUGAAAUGCGCAGAUAUCAGGAGGAACACCGGUGGCGAAGGCGGAUCUCUGGGCCGAUACUGACGCUGAGGAGCGAAAGCGUGGGGAGCGAACAGGAUUAGAUACCCUGGUAGUCCACGCCGUAAACGGUGGGCACUAGGUGUGGGCAACAUUCCACGUUGUCCGUGCCGCAGCUAACGCAUUAAGUGCCCCGCCUGG